GAACAUUUUCAAAUGUUUUCUGUCAAAGCCUGAUCUCAUCAGAUCUCAGAAGCUUAUCGGAACUGGGUCUGGUUAGUUCUUUGAUGGAAGACCACUAUCAGAUUUCAUGAUGGUCUGCC
rnacentral:rRNA from 1 species